rnacentral:snRNA from 1 species
GGACGUGAGGGCAAUCUGGCUGCGACAUCUGUCACUCUAUUGAUCGCAAGGGUUGAUUCGGCUGAUCUGGCUGGCUAAGCGGUGUCCCUUUCCUCUCUCACAGCUCCAUGUGUGUCCCUCCCGAAACUGCACCCUUGGUCAAAGAGGAUGACCUUCCCAGAUAGAGGAGACCACCAUUCUUUGGUCAAAGGUAUAGGAAUAGCUGUGUUCCUGUUAGAACCUCUAUACAAGCUCUCAGGUCCAUUUGUAGGAGAAGGUAGGGUAGUCAAGCUUCAAAGGAUAAAGACAAAAACGAAACAGGUGCUACAUGUGGCAGUAUGUAUAUUA